rnacentral:lncRNA from 1 species
GCGGGAAAAUGAACACAAACAAAAUAUGAAGAAAAACAUAAGUUGUGCGCCCUGAAGCUGCAUACAUAGCUACUUCCAUUCAGAGUCCUAGCUAGCUGUGGGCAUGGGCGUCUAGAGAUGUCCAUGCUAUCAGAGGCCUGGCUAUAAUAAGUAAAGUUACGUCACCGGGCUAUCCGCCAUGACGAUAGCUGACUUCCUCGAGGGUUUCAGCCACGGCCCAAAACAUUCAAAAUUUAAUAAUAUAUUUUAGGUGAAGAACUCUACAAAUUAGAUUACAGGAGUCGCUCUGGAGCUGAGGGGAUUACACUUUUUUCAUUUCCAAGGGACAAAUUCCUUGGAAGGCAAUGGGUCCUAAAAACGAAAAGAAAUCUUUGGAAACCUUCAGAUAAUUCUCGAUUGUGCCCUAAACAUUUUGAAGAAAAUCAAUUUAUAAAGAAUUUCAACUCGUAAGUUAUUUCAACAUUGUUUAAACAUCUAAAACCUGAAGUUCCAAGGCUCACCAAAAACUCCGACAAACCCUUUUUCAUUCCAGAGAACAAUGGUGAUGCUAAGCAAAUUAAAUUAAUCUCCACAAUUUCAGGAUCGUAUAUACGUUACACUUUCUUUGGAGCUUCCUACUUCCGAAAAUGGAGAAAUAGACUUAGUGGACAUGAAUCUAAUUUAAUUAACAAUAGAAUAUGAAAUUUCUUAUAAUGAGGUAAAGCAUCUAAAGGAUAUUAAUACCAACCUACAAAUCCAACUUGGAGUCUAUGAAACAGAAAUAAAAGUAGAAAUUGAAGAAGAAAGAUGUCAAAAUUCAGGACACAGAAUCAAAGUUUAAGAUAUUAAAAAUGCGCCUCUCCUCGGUGUUUAACUCCGACUAGCUAAUAAUUUGAAGUUGCAAGUCUUUGCAUUCCAAAAUCCGCCUUCGGUCUAAUAAAACCAUCGAGAAUUCACUUCAGUUAAGAUUCGUUGAGGGAACUAUAUGUCGUCCAUUGGAGGAUUAAUCUAUUGUACCAAGAACUGAACUGUUUCGAUAAAUUUGCAAAAAUAGAGGCUUUAUUAUGUCUUAUGUCUAUCAAUUAAAAAAAAAAAAAAAUUGUUAACUUAAUAAUAACUGAAGUAGCCGUUCCAUUAAUUAAGUCGUCUAUAAAUGUCCCAAAAUGUUAUAAAAUUUUAUAUUUCACUGCAUCCGAAUGCACAUACAUUUACAAAGGCAAAUUGCAAUUACCAAAAAAUAUUAGCUUCUUCUUCUUUCGGAAACCGAAGCAUGUGUAUGCGAAAUGAAGUAAAUUAAAGAGAUAAUUAGUAAAGUAAUUAUUCCAUUUGUUUAUAAUAAUUAAUCUUGUAUGUAAGCUUAAUAAAAUCAUUUUUUUACCAUUCAA